UACGAGGGGUGCAAGCGUUGCUCGGAAUUCUUGGGCGUAAAGGGCAGGUAGGUGGUCUCGUUUGUCUCAUGUGAAAGCCUUGGGCUUAACCCGAGAAGUGCGUAAGAAACGGCGAGACUUGAGUAUCGGAGAGGUGAGUGGAAUUCCCGGUGUAGCGGUGAAAUGCGUAGAGAUUGGGAAGAACAUCCGUGGCGAAAGCGCUCUGCUGGACUGCAACUGACAUUGAGGGACGAAAGCUAGGGAAGCGAAUGGG
rnacentral:rRNA from 1 species